rnacentral:rRNA from 1 species
AGCCGCCGCGGUAAUUCGUAGGGGGCAAGCGUUGUCCGGAUUUAUUAGGCGUAAAGCGCGUGUAGGCGGCCAGGUAGGUCCGCUGUGAAAACCCGAGGCUCAACCUCGGGACGUCGGCGGAAACCAUCUGGCUAGAGUCCGGAAGAGGAGAGUGGAAUUCCCGGUGUAGCGGUGAAAUGCGCAGAUAUCGGGAAGAACACCCGUGGCGAAGGCGGCUCUCUGGGACGGUACUGACGCUGAGACGCGAAAGCGUGGGGAGCGAACAGGAUUAGAUACCCUGGUAGUCCACGCCGUAAACGAUGGGUGCUAGGUGUAGGCGGUGUCGACUCCGUCUGUGCCGAAGUUAACGCAUUAAGCACCCCGCCUGGGGAGUACGGCCGCAAGGCUAAAACUCAAAUGAAUUGACGG